rnacentral:lncRNA from 1 species
GCCUAUUUUGUAACUUUUAUGAUUCCCACUUAUAGAUGAGGAGUCUACGGCACUGUGCAAAGUAGUAACUUCUAUUCCAGAAACCAUUGUUACUUAGUAUUUUAACUCGGGGACAGAGAAUGAAGCCUUCAUUUCCCCGUUCCCUGUAAUGACUUGGGGUAAUCCUGCCCUUGCUGCCUGCCCUGUCUGGAUGUGGGUGACAGGGCCCCACAGAAGGACGCCCAGCUCACAGGUCUUCCCUUUCUAGUUGCCUUUGCUGGCCUGGCCUUUGCUUCCUUCUACCUGGCAGGGAAGUUACACUGCUUCACACCCCAAGGCCGAGGGAAGUCCUGGAGGCUCUGUGCCUUUCUGUCACCUUUACUCUUUGCAGCUGUGAUUGCACUGUCCCGCACGUGUGACUAUAAGCACCACUGGCAAGGUAAGCAGGGUUUUAAUUUGUCUUGUUUAUGCCACAGGAUUUCUGCUCUGCUUGUGUUAAGCACUGCGGAGUGGCUUACUGCGCUGCUGAGGCAACCCGAGUACUGUAUUGUGUGUGCAUUUACAGCCACAGGGACAAACGUGGUGGGCAGCGAGUGGCUCAGAGUUAAAGGCACUUGAUGCACAAGCCUGGCAUUGCUGUGUCUAAUCCCCGGAACACACGUAUAGGUAGAAGGAAAGACAGGAUUCCAGCGUUGUCCUCUCACCUCCACACGGAUCCCUGCCCAACACACAUGUUCUUUUUAAAAUUUGUAUAUAGUAUAUAUGCACGUGAGUGCAGGUACAUGAUUCAAUCAUGCGGGAAGCUAGGCAUGUGACAGUAACCCUCCCCAGCAUAGCAGAUACAAGGCCACUCUCAGCUUUUUAUGUGGGUACUGGGGAUUUGAACCCAGGUCUUCUUGUUGAUGCAAGUAAGUGCUCGUACCUGCUCAGCCAGCUCCUCAGCUCUCAACUGUUAACCCAACAUCACCCCCAACCCCAAUGCCACCAGACAGGGUUUCAUUAGUUAGCUCUGGAUGGCCCUGGAUCUUGCUAUGUAGACCAAGCUGGCCUUGAACUUACAGAAUUACAGCUGCCUCUGUUUGCUGGGUGCUGUAUAAAAGGUGCGCACUACCGUACCUCAGCUCCCUCUAUUUUUAAGACAGGACCCCGCCUCUAGCCCAAGCCUAGACAGAAGCAGGCUUCUGUGUCAGCCUCCCAUAUGUUGGGUUGACCGUGUGCCGCCAAGCCUCGGCAGAAUUCUUCAAGUAGUGAAAGCUAAUGAAUGGCGAGUCACAAAAACACUUGUUAUCCUUUGUUAAAACAUUCUAACUCAGUCCAUGCUGAUUGAAGGGUGUGUUGUUUGAUGUUAAGAGAACAAUCUGACUAAUAACCCCGAAACUGUAUGAUAAAAUAAAGUCACUCUAAAGAAACUAAUAGCACAGGUUCAGGGCUGUUUUUAGCCCCUACAAGCAGAGGGCCAGGUUGCCUGUGUAGCGUCUAGCAUGGUUUUAAGGGGUGCUAUUUUCUCUCUUCAGAUGUGCUCGUUGGAUCCAUGAUUGGAACAACAUUUGCCUAUGUCUGCUACAGGCAGUACUACCCCCCUCUCACUGACACAGAGUGCCAUAAACCAUUCCAGGACAAGCACAGACUUCCGUCUUCACAGAAGCCCAGUGUGCCUCACCGUUUGGACAUUUAGUUGAGUCUACCUCAGUGGAGAGCAAGCAAAUCAAUCCUCCUAACUGGACACCAUGCACAAGCCAAGGAUUUCUGGCUUUUACCUCUUCCAAGGUCAAAGGGAGGACACAGCCACACUGUGCACCUUUGCCCCACUUCCAAGGCUAGACCCUGAGGUCUCACUGCCUGGCUUGACACGGGCUCUCUCAGUGCUUCUCUCACUAGGUUAAUGAGUCCGGUCCCAGUAUUCUCAGAUCUAGUCAGUGUCUUUAUGUCGAUGUAAAUGUCACUCCUGAAGAAAGCUUUUUAUAAAGGAAGCUUCUCAUGACCCCAUUUUAUCCUAGAAGGCUUAAUUACCAGACAUAAUCUCUGUCCCUUAUAAAUUAGGGCAGUUCCAAACUUUGAUUCUGUUUACUUUUUGUGGUAACAUUCCAUUAAGCCUUAAAUAAUAAAACAUCCAAUUUUUUACUUUUUACUACAUUAGGAAAGAAAACUUAUGGGUGUUAUCUAGAAGAUAAAUGUAUCUUUUUCUGCCUUUUGUUCACAAAGAAACAUAUGGAGCAGCUAAAGGCUCUCACUAGAACUUGAUCCUGAGGACCACUUGAUGGAUAGCUACCUUUUCUUCAUUGUUACUAUACUUUAAAUAAAAUUCAGUCU